rnacentral:lncRNA from 1 species
UACUUUCCAGACCCUUUUCCAAACCCUUCCCCUUCAUCUUCCUCUUAUUUUCAUCUAGGGUUCUAUCUCAUUCCAUUGAAGAACAAGGGUUCAGCUUCUUCAUCUUUCACUUUAAGAUCUGCCAGAGAAAAGAUUAUAAAUAAGUAAUCCAAAAGGAUCCUGCAACAUUUCCACCAAGGAGUUCAAUCCUAAACUCCUAAUUCAGAAUAGUCCUUUCAAAAAGUA